GAUGAACGCUGGCGGCGUGCCUAAUACAUGCAAGUCGAGCGAACAGAUGAGGAGCUUGCUCCUCUGACGUUAGCGGCGGACGGGUGAGUAACACGUGGAUAACCUACCUAUAAGACUGGGAUAACUUCGGGAAACCGGAGCUAAUACCGGAUAAUAUAUUGAACCGCGUGGUUCAAUAGUGAAAGACGGUUUUGCUGUCACUUAUAGAUGGAUCCGCGCCGCAUUAGCUAGUUGCUAAGGUAACGGCUUACCAAGGCAACGAUGCGUAGCCGACCUGAGAGGGUGAUCGGCCACACUGGAACUGAGACACGGUCCAGACUCCUACGGGAGGCAGCAAUAGGGAAUCUUCCGCAAUGGGCGAAAGCCCGACGGAGCAACGCCGCGUGAGUGAUGAAGGUCUUCGGAUCGUAAAACUCUGUUAUUAGGGAAGAACAAAUGUGUAAGUAACUAUGCACGUCUUGACGGUACCUAAUCAGAAAGCCACGGCUAACUACGUG
rnacentral:rRNA from 1 species